rnacentral:rRNA from 1 species
UACGGAGGGUGCAAGCGUUGUCCGGAUUUAUUGGGUUUAAAGGGUGCGUAGGCGGCCUUAUAAGUCAGUGGUGAAAUACUCCAGCUUAACUGGAGGGGUGCCAUUGAUACUGCAAGGCUUGAGUGGAGUCGAGGUAGGCGGAAUUGACGGUGUAGCGGUGAAAUGCUUAGAUAUCGUCAAGAACACCGAUAGUGUAGACAGCUUACUAGGCUCAUACUGACGCUGAGGCACGAAAGUGUGGGGAGCGAACAGG